rnacentral:lncRNA from 1 species
GGGCCAAUAAACAAAUCUGUCUUGGGGAUUGAUGUUAUUACCAAGUCCUGUUGUGGACCUGAUAAAGGAGUUUUCUCAUCCAAGUCUGAAUAGUACUCGAAGUCCUUGAUCGUAUCUGUAUCGGAUUGUGAUCUAGACAGGGUAGCGUGAUAACUACUAGUCGUGUUGUGGAGUCCAAACGGGAAUUGAUUCUGGCGAUAAUCCGACUCACACGAUAGCUUAUGCGCUGGCUCAUAGAGUUUAAUUCGACCGGCGGAAAAAGUCGAGUUGUACUCGGACCCGUCCC